rnacentral:rRNA from 1 species
AUACGGAGGAUCCGAGCGUUAUCCGGAUUUAUUGGGUUUAAAGGGAGCGUAGGCGGACGCUUAAGUCAGUUGUGAAAGUUUGCGGCUCAACCGUAAAAUUGCAGUUGAUACUGGGUGUCUUGAGUACAGUAGAGGCAGGCGGAAUUCGGGGUGUAGGGGUGGAAUGCUUAGAUAUCACGAAGAACUCCGAUUGCGAAGGCAGCCUGCUGGACUGUAACUGACGCUGAUGCUCGAAAGUGUGGGUAUCAAACAGGAUUAGAUACCCUGGUAGUCCACACAGUAAACGAUGAAUACUCGCUGUUUGCGAUAUACAGUAAGCGGCCAAGCGAAAGCGUUAAGUAUUCCACCUGGGGAGUACGCCGGCAACGGUGAAACUCAAAUGAAUUGACGGGG